rfam:Ovis aries breed Texel chromosome 3, whole genome shotgun sequence.
GGCUCAGACGGUAAAGCAUCUGCCUGCAAAGCAGAAGACCCCAGUUUGAUCCCUGGG